rnacentral:rRNA from 1 species
GAUGAACGCUGGCGGCGUGCUUAACACAUGCCAGUCGAACGAAGCAUUUAGGACAGAUUACUUCGGUUUGAAGUUCUUUAUGACUGAGUGGCGGACGGGUGAGUAACGCGUGGGUAACCUGCCUUGUACUGGGGGAUAGCAGCUGGAAACGGCUGGUAAUACCGCAUAAGCGCACAAUGUUGCAUGACAUGGUGUGAAAAACUCCGGUGGUAUAAGAUGGACCCGCGUCUGAUUAGCUAGUUGGUGAGAUAACAGCCCACCAAGGCGACGAUCAGUAGCCGACCUGAGAGGGUGACCGGCCACAUUGGGACUGAGACACGGCCCAGACUCCUACGGGAGUCAGCAGUGGGGAAUAUUGCACAAUGGAGGAAACUCUGAUGCAGCGACGCCGCGUGAGUGAAGAAGUAAUUCGUUAUGUAAAGCUCUAUCAGCAGGGAAGAUAGUGACGGUACCUGACUAAGAAGCUCCGGCUAAAUACGUG